CAAACUAUAACUAAUAUAUAGUAUUUUAUUUACACUAAAAUUUUAAUUUGUUGAAUCAAUUUAGUUUGA
rnacentral:tRNA from 1 species